AUACGGAGGAUCCGAGCGUUAUCCGGAUUUAUUGGGUUUAAAGGGAGCGUAGGUGGGAUAUUAAGUCAGCUGUGAAAGUUUGGGGCUCAACCUUAAAAUUGCAGUUGAUACUGGUUUCCUUGAGUACGGUACAGGUGGGCGGAAUUCGUGGUGUAGCGGUGAAAUGCUUAGAUAUCACGAAGAACUCCGAUCGCGAAGGCAGCUCACCGGGCCGGAACUGACACUGAUGCUCGAAAGUGCGGGUAUCAAACAGGAUUAGAUACCCUGGUAGUCCGCACAGUAAACGAUGAAUACUCGCUGUUUGCGAUACACAGUAAGCGGCCAAGCGAAAGCGUUAAGUAUUCCACCUGGGGAGUACGCCGGCAACGGUGAAACUCAAAGGAAUUGACGGGG
rnacentral:rRNA from 1 species